rnacentral:rRNA from 1 species
UGGGGAAUAUUGCACAAUGGGCGAAAGCCUGAUGCAGCAACGCCGCGUGAGUGAUGAAGGUCUUCGGAUUGUAAAGCUCUGUCUUUUGGGACGAUAAUGACGGUACCAAAGGAGGAAGCCACGGCUAACUACGUGCCAGCAGCCGCGGUAAUACGUGGGUGGCGAGCGUUGUCCGGAUUUACUGGGCGUAAAGGGUGCGUAGGCGGAUGUUUAAGUGAGAUGUGAAAUACCCGGGCUUAACUUGGGUGCUGCAUUUCAAACUGGAUAUCUAGAGUGCAGGAGAGGAGAAUGGAAUUCCUAGUGUAGCGGUGAAAUGCGUAGAGAUUAGGAAGAACACCAGUGGCGAAGGCGAUUCUCUGGACUGUAACUGACGCUGAGGCACGAAAGCGUGGGUAGCAAACAGGAUUAGAUACCCUGGUAGUCCACGCCGUAAAACGAUGAGUACUAGGUGUA